rnacentral:rRNA from 1 species
AGUGAACGCUGGCGGUAGGCCUAACACAUGCAAGUCGAACGGCAGCACAGUAAGAGCUUGCUCUUACGGGUGGCGAGUGGCGGACGGGUGAGGAAUACAUCGGAAUCUACUUUUUCGGGGGGGAUAACGUAGGGAAACUUACGCUAAUACCGCAUACGACCUACGGGUGAAAGCAUGGGAUCUUCGGACCUUGCGCGAUUGAAUGAGCCGAUGUCGGAUUAGCUAGUUGGCGGGGUAAAGGCCCACCAAGGCGACGAUCCGUAGCUGGUCUGAGAGGAUGGUCAGCCACACUGGAACUGAGACACGGUCCAGACUCCUACGGGAGGCAGCAGUGGGGAAUAUUGGACAAUGGGCGCAAGCCUGAUACAGCCAUACCGCGUGGGUGAAGAAGGCCUUCGGGUUGUAAAGCCCUUUUGUUGGGAAAGAAAAGCAGCAGGUUAAUACCACGCUGUUCUGACGGUACCCAAAGAAUAAGCACCGGCUAACUUCGUG